rnacentral:rRNA from 1 species
CUACGGGCGGCUGCAGUGAGGAAUAUUGCACAAUGGAGGAAACUCUGAUGCAGCAACGCCGCGUGGAGGAUGACGCAUUUCGGUGUGUAAACUCCUUUUAUGAGUCAAGAAAAUGACGGUAGCUCAUGAAUAAGCACCGGCUAACUCCGUGCCAGCAGCCGCGGUAAUACGGAGGGUGCAAGCGUUACUCGGAAUCACUGGGCGUAAAGGACGCGUAGGCGGGAUAUCAAGUCAGGUGUGAAAUCCUACAGCUUAACUGUAGAACUGCACUUGAAACUUCUAAUCUAGAGUAUGGGAGGGGGAGAUGGAAUUAGUGGUGUAGGGGUAAAAUCCGUAGAUAUCACUAGGAAUACCUAAAGCGAAGGCGAUCUCCUGGAACAUUACUGACGCUAAGGCGUGAAAGCGUGGGGAGCAAACAGGAUUAGAUACCCUUGUAGUC